CCCUUAGAUGUUCUGAACCGCACGCGUGUUACACUGAUGCAUUCAACGAGCUUUACCUUGGCCGAGAGGCCUGGGAAAUCUUUUUAGCAUGCAUCGUGAUAGGGAUUGAUUAUUGCAAUUAUUAAUCAUGAACGAGGAAUUCCUAGUAAACGCAUUUCAUCAAAAUGCAUUGAUUACGUCCCUGCCCUUUGUACACACCGCCCGUCGCACCUACCGAUUGAGUGGUCCGGUGAAGUCUCGAGAUUGUGGCAAUCUCCUUUAUUGGAGUUUGACUGCGAGAACUUGCCUAAACCUUAUCUCUUAGAGGAAGGUGAAGUCGUAACA
rnacentral:rRNA from 1 species